AUGGAUAGGCAAGGCAUUUCAUCUUCGGUCUUCGACAACAAUGACAGCAUGAACAACUACAUCACUAAAGCGUCAAUCUUCAAUCUACAACGACAAAUGCAAGGCGCACAAUCAAGAUUGCGAGAGCGCAUAGAGAACCUCUCCGUCGACAUUUGUCACUCCGAAGCAAGGAAAAGGGACUACAUCGACAACAAGCUUUCCGCACAAAAGGAGGAGAAAGAUGCAAAGAUGGGGGAGAUUCAGACCUUGUUGAUCAACCGUUCUUCCCCUUCAUCAUCCUCAAGGCGGCGACGUUCAAGUCACAAGUCUUCGGAGCGCAAAAAUGAUGCAAGCGCAAGUCGUCCACAUCCACAUCUCCAUGGCGACCAUCAUCACGUUCGUGAUCAGCAUCAUCAUGAAGAGCAAGUCACCUCCAAGCAUCAUGUGCACGACGACAACGAAUGA
rnacentral:rRNA from 1 species